GAAUUGACGGGGGCCCCCACAAGCGGUGGAGCAUGUGGUUUAAUUCGAAGCAACGCGAAGAACCUUACCAGGUCUUGACAUCUAGUGCCAUUUGUAGAGAUACAAAGUUCCCCUGGGGGACGCUAAGACAGGUGGUGCAUGGCUGUGAUCAGCUCGAUGUCGUGAGAUUUUGGGUUAAGUCCCGCAACGAGCGCAACCCUUGUUAUUAGUUGCCAGCAUUAAGUUGGGCACUCUAAUGAGACAGCCGGGGACAAACCGGAGGAAGGUGGGGAUGACGUCAAGUCAUCAUGCCCCUUAUCAUCUGGGCUACACAAAGCCUACAAUGGGCAGUACAACGAGAAGCGAGCCUGCGAAGGCAAGAGGAUCUCUGAAAGCUGUUCUCAGUUAGGAGAUCAGUCUGCAACUUUUCUGCUCGAAGCUGGAAUCGCUUGUAAUCGCGGAUUACCACGCCACGGGGCAGGUGUUCCCGGGCUUUGUCCACCCUCCCCGUCUCACCUUGGGAGUGUCCAAUCCCCAAAACCGGUGUCAGAACCUUCGGGAAGGAGCCCUUUAAGGCAGGGCAGA
rnacentral:rRNA from 1 species